UAGAGGGUGCUCGAAAGAGAGCCGUAACACAGGUGCUGCAUGGCUGUCGUCAGCUCGUGUCGUGAGAUGUUGGGUUAAGUCCCGCAACGAGCGCAACCCUUGUCAUUAGUUGCUACAUUCAGUUGGGCACUCUAAUGAGACUGCCGGUGACAAGCCGGAGGAAGUGGGAUGACGUCAAGUCCUCAUGGCCCUUAUAGGUGGGCUACACACGUCAUACAAUGGCUGGUACAAAGGGUUGCCAACCCGCGAGGGGAGCUAAUCCCAUAAAGCCAGUCGUAGUCCGGAUCGUAGUCUGCAACUCAACUACGUGAAGUCGGAAUCGCUAGUAAUCGUGGAUCAGAAUGUCACGGUGAAUACGUUCCCGGGUCUU
rnacentral:rRNA from 1 species